rnacentral:lncRNA from 10 species
GUUUAAAUGAGGUCAUUUAAUGGAUGGGGCCUAUUUAAUAUUAGGAUGCAGACACACACAGAGAGAAGAACGUGUAAGAUGUCCAUCUGCAAGACAAGGAGAGAGGCUUCAGGAGAAAGCAACCCUGCUCACACUUUGAUCACAGACUUGUGGCCUCCAGAAUGAGACCGUGAAUCCCCUGAUUGCUGACUCCCUGGUCCCAGCACUGUGCUGAUGAAUUCCUGAUGUCCACGGAGCUACUACAAGAUCUGAGAUUUAUAGCUCUGAAACUUCAGAAGAUAAUCGAGAUGAUACCUUUGGAUAAAGAACCUGAAUGUAUCAACUAGACUGUUUGAAAAGACACAUUUUAAUAAAUAACCUGAAUAUAUAAGCCAGAUUGUUUCAAGGGCUGUAGAAGAAACAUUUUAAAUCCUUUCUCUGAAAAAACUAUUAAAAACACAGAAAACGGGAUACUAAUAGAAACAAUCCAGAAAGGCUUAGCAGGACAACUCAGCAAAACAACACAUCAAUGACCACUUUUAACAGUCUGUGGAAGUCUUUUGCCAGUAAGGGAAGCCAUGGAGUUGUCCUUGAUGCUUUUGUUUUUAGUCCUGUAACCUAGUCAUUAAAACCUCCCAUGGAACUUUUGCUUGGUGGCAUCUUGGAUUGGGAGAAGACAACGGUCUUCUUGUCUGUCACCUACACAUGUCAACGGUUGAGAGCUAUAAAUCAGUACAUCCAAAAAAAUUGCUCUUUCCUUGAUGUAAUCCCAAACGUAUCCAACAUACAAAUGAAAUUAGCUUCCUAUAAUUUAGUUGUCUUGUUCACAUACCUCAAGAUAAGCUUCUUCCAAGACGCCAUUCCCAAAG